rnacentral:rRNA from 1 species
UACGAAGGGGGGCUAGCGUUGCUCGGAAUCACUGGGCGUAAAGGGUGCGUAGGCGGGUCUUUUAAGUCAGGGGGUGAAAUCCUGGAGCUCAACUCCAGAACUGCCUUUGAUACUGAAGAUCUUGAGUUCGGGAGAGGUGAGUGGAACUGCGAGUGUUAGAGGUGAAAUUCGUAGAUAUUCGGCAAGAACACCAGUGGCGAAGGCGGCUCACUGGCCCGAUACUGACGCUGAGGCACGAAAGCGUGGGGAGCAAACAGGAU